CUACGGGCGGCUCCAGUGGGGAAUAUUGCACAAUGGGGGAAACCCUGAUGCAGCAACGCCGCGUGGAGGAUGACGCAUUUCGGUGUGUAAACUCCUUUUAUAUAGGAAGAUAAUGACGGUACUAUAUGAAUAAGCACCGGCUAACUCCGUGCCAGCAGGCCGCGGUAAUACGGAGGGUGCAAGCGUUACUCGGAAUCACUGGGCGUAAAGCGCGCGCAGGCGGCCUUUUAAGUUGGAUGUGAAAGCCUAUGGCUUAACCAUAGAACUGCAUCCAAAACUAUCAGGCUAGAGUCGGGGAGGGGAAGAUGGAAUUAGUUGUGUAGGGGUAAAAUCCGUAGAGAUAACUAGGAAUACCAAAAGCGAAGGCGAUCUUCUGGAACAGUACUGACGCUGAGGCGCGAAAGCGUGGGGAGCAAACAGGAUUAGAUACCCGGAUAGUC
rnacentral:rRNA from 1 species